UACAGAGGGUGCAAGCGUUAAUCGGAAUUACUGGGCGUAAAGCGCGCGUAGGUGGUUUGUUAAGUUGGAUGUGAAAUCCCCGGGCGUCAACCUGGGAACGUGCAUCCAAAACCUAGGCAAGCUAGAGUAUGGUAGAGGGUGGUGGAAUUUCCUGUGUAGCGGUGAAAUGCGUAGAUAUAGGAAGGAACACCAGUGGCGAAGGCGGCUGCCUGGACCAAUACUGACGCUGAGGUGCGAAAGCGUGGGGAGCAAACAGGAUUAGAUACCCUAGUAGU
rnacentral:rRNA from 1 species